CCCUUAGAUGUUCUGGGCGGCCCGCGCACUACAAUGGCGUGCGCAGCGAGUGCCGAAGUAGAGUUUUCCGAGGUAUUCUUGCAAUGCUCGUUUUGAUGGGGAUAGACCCUUGCAACUGUUGGUUUUGAACGAGGAAUUCCUUGUAAGCAUGGUUUAUCAUCCGACGCUGAAUGCGUCCCUGCCCUUUGUACACACCGCCCGUCGCUCCUACCGAUGAGUCGUCCGGUGAAGUUCGUAGACCUCGUGAUCGCGGAUCACUGGGGGAAGCAAAAUGAACCUCGCGGUUUAGAGGAAGGAGAAGUCGUAACA
rnacentral:rRNA from 1 species